ACUCACCGCGCUCACACUCGCCGCGCUCACACUCGCCCUCUCGCGCGCGCACACCCGUGCACACUCGCCGCGCGCCCCCUACUCCAGCCACGCCCUGAAACCCUCGCGAGACCCCUCUCCCUCCAACUCAGCCCCCAAAUUCCUGGGGCGCUGCCCACUCCGUGCAGGCCGUUCCACCCGCUUCCCGCUGUCCCGCUCAGGCCGAAAGCCGCGGACACGGUGGCCUUUGGAACUUGUGUAGGAGUCCGCCCCGCACCUCGACGCCUCUGUCCUGUGCGCUCACGCGUGCACACUCACUCACACACACACCGCACUACUCUCCUCUGUUGGACUGCCUUAACCCUGUCUCUGCUUGGCUGGGGGAACUCCCAGAGCCUUGUUGAAAGGGUACAGAGCCAGUGUCUUCGGAUACAGAACUAAUAAUGUUACUUCACAUUGUCUCCAUGUAUAUAUACCAGCAUCACUCUACAUAUUAAAUAAUAGGGAAGUAUCCUUUUUUCCAUUUUCCUUUUUUAUUAAAAAACCUAUAAAUAUGAAAAAUCUAAUAUUUAUUUGCAGCUCCUCAACACGUGAUCUUACGUGUUCCCUGGGAUAUGUGCAUCUUUUUGUUGGCGACCAUAGAUGUAAAAGAUAUUUGCAAAAGAUAUUUCAAACUUGGGUGUAAUUCAAGCAGUCUCCAAUAGCAGAGACAAUAUGCCUUGAAGAACACCUAUGUCAGGAAGGCUCACCCUGCAACAGUUCUCAGGAAGAUCUUUCCAGGAGAUCUGCCCGGGAAGAGCAGACAUGCAACAGAUUCAAUCCUGUGGGAAGAUUACUCUGUCAAGAAAGAGCAAGGAUAGCCAUUCACAGGAUUGCACCAUGAGGCUCAUGGAUUAGAAAUUAAGAUGAUAGCAAUGAGAUCAAGAGUGUUAAAAGCAGGAGCAGAGUGUAGUUGUGGGGCUUGCCUGCAAUAUCUGAUUGGGCAUUAGCUCACAGUGGAGAAGUCUGAUGGGAGAGGAGUGCAAAGGAAUGAAGGAACAUAAUAUCCAUGGUUGGCUUUGGAUCCCAAGUAUGACUCUGUUGCAAGACCCAUUGGAAGUUAUAAUAGAGGUUGUGCUACAUACUUCUUCCAUCAGUCUGGAUUGGCUCUGAAUUGAAGAUAAUUAUUCCUGCAGUAUGUAGAGAAAGAGCCAAGAAAGAGAUUGAUUACAAAUGGAAGAUAAUUGCAUUAACAUUUUGUGAGAUAUUAUUUAAAAUGUUUGUCAACCAUAAAAGGUAGUAUGGUGAAAUCUGCCAACUUAGUUAAGCUUCAUAUUUCAGUGUAACUGUCAAGUUAGCUUAUAUGCUGAUCUUUAUCUGUUAGAUUAUUUAGUAGUAUCUAGGUAUCUACUAGAUUUCCUAAAGGCAGUCAGUCACAGGGGCUUCCAAAUAAAAAAUACUUCAGAUUAUGACCUGGAUUUGAGACAAAAUUCCACCAUUCACUAUCUGUGUGAACUAAGGAAGUUGUUUAUUUAUUGUGAACCAAAGUUUCUUUCUUUCUUUCUUUCUUUUUUGACAAAAUCUCACUCUGUCACCCAGGCUGGAGUGCAGUGAUAUGAUCUCAGCUCACUGCAACAUGUGCCUAUCUGCCUCCUGGGCUCAAGUGAUUCUCGUGCCUCAGCCUACCUAGUAGCUGGGAUUACAGGUGUGUAGGUGUGUGCCACCACUCCCUGGCUAUUUUUUGUAUUUUCAGUAGAGAUGGAGUUUUUUCCAUGUUGGCCAGGCUGGUCCCGAAUUCCUGGCCUCAAGUGAUCUGCCUGUCUUGAGCUCCCAAAGUGUGGGGAUUACAGGUGUGAGCCACCCCACUCAGCUCCCUCAGUUUCUUUAAGUGUGAGGUGAAGAUAAUAAUCUGUAUCUCAUAGCUUUCCUCUGAAGAUUAACUAUAUUAUUUUAAAAGAUUUUUAACACAGUGUUUGACAUACACUAAGUGCUUAAUAACUGAUAGCUAUUAUUAAUAUUAUUUUUAAAGCCUCAGUAUUCUAUGAAUGAAAGAACAAAUAUAUCUAAUCUCAAAUGUUUAUAUUUUGAAAACUAUCUAGGCUUACACUGAUCUUAUUCAUGCAAUAAAGAGGAUAGUUCUGGAGACUGCGCAUUCAGGGAAGACAGAAUGGGUUAGAUGUACUUUCCUAUUCCUGCUGAUAAGUACAGUUAAAAAUCCUGGACAUCUUAUAUACACAAAAAUAUAAAAAUGUUGAAAGGUGAAAAGGAAGAAGUAAAUUGGCUUGAGAAUUUGGGGACCCAAGGGACAGUACAUAAAUGAGUUCCCUGGAUUUUGUAUUUUGGUUUUUGUCUCAUAUAUCCUAGACAGGGUAUUAAAGAAGCAGACUACCAAGAGAUGCCAAGGUGCAGAAAAAAAGCACCAGCAAAGGUCUACUGUCUCUAAGCAAAGGACCAGGAAAGGGACAGCCAAGGAAGACACAACACUUACUGUGCUAUGCCAGCCAAAUACCCCAAGAAGAAACCCAUGGCUCUGUCCCUUGAUCCUAGACUCCUUGGUCCAUAGAACUGUGAGAAAUAAAUGUUGUUUAUCAGCCA
rnacentral:lncRNA from 1 species